rnacentral:pre_miRNA from 1 species
AUACAAAUCACUGGCGGAUCUUGUUAAAAUGCAGAAACUGAUUCUGUCUGGAGGAGGACUAAGAUUCUGCAUUUCUAAUAAGCUUCUGGGUGAUGCUGAU